AGUGAACGCUGGCGGUAGGCCUAACACAUGCAAGUCGAACGGCAGCACAGUAAGAGCUUGCUCUUACGGGUGGCGAGUGGCGGACGGGUGAGGAAUACAUCGGAAUCUACUUUUUCGUGGGGGAUAACGUAGGGAAACUUACGCUAAUACUGCAUACGACCUACGGGUGAAAGCAGGGGAUCUUCGGACCUUGCGCGAUUGAAUGAGCCGAUGUCGGAUUAGCUAGUUGGCGGGGUAAAGGCCCACCAAGGCGACGAUCCGUAGCUGGUCUGAGAGGAUGAUCAGCCACACUGGAACUGAGACACGGUCCAGACUCCUACGGGAGGCAGCAGUGGGGAAUAUUGGACAAUGGGCGCAAGCCUGAUCCAGCCAUACCGCGUGGGUGAAGAAGGCCUUCGGGUUGUAAAGCCCUUUUGUUGGGAAAGAAAAGCAGCAGGUUAAUACCCCACUGUUCUGACGGUACCCAAAGAAUAAGCACCGGCUAACUUCGUG
rnacentral:rRNA from 1 species